GCGCUAUUUACAGUUUUAUAAAAUUUGGGUCACAUAAUCUCUUUGCAAAAUGAAACAAAUUGCUGUUUUAAAAAAUAGGGGUCCAUGCACUCGUUUUCAAAUUAAAUCAGUUUGAAUGAUAAAAAUCAGUCGAAAAAUGCAUCUUUUCCCGAUAUGUCAUAGUUUGACGUCGUGAAAAUAACAUUUUACGUUAGCAACGUCAUUACCUUCCCUGUAACUGUAUCGUAUGCCCUUAAGAU
rnacentral:lncRNA from 1 species